GACGAACGCUGGCGGCGUGCUUAACACAUGCAAGUCGAACGGAAAGGCCCUUCGGGGUACUCGAGUGGCGAACGGGUGAGUAACACGUGGGUGAUCUGCCCUGCACUUUGGGAUAAGCCUGGGAAACUGGGUCUAAUACCGAAUAGGACCACGCGCUUCAUGGUGUGUGGUGGAAAGCUUUUGCGGUGUGGGAUGGGCCCGCGGCCUAUCAGCUUGUUGGUGGGGUACUGGCCUACCAAGGCGACGACGGGUAGCCGGCCUGAGAGGGUGACCGGCCACACUGGGACUGAGAUACGGCCCAGACUCCUACGGGAGGCAGCAGUGGGGAAUAUUGCACAAUGGGCGCAAGCCUGAUGCAGCGACGCCGCGUGAGGGAUGACGGCCUUCGGGUUGUAAACCUCUUUCACCAGGGACGAAGCGUAAGUGACGGUACCUGGAGAAGAAGCACCGGCCAACUACGUG
rnacentral:rRNA from 1 species